UACGGGGGGGGUAAGCGUUGUUCGGAAUUACUGGGCGUAAAGGGCUCGUAGGCGGCCCUCUCAGUCGGAUGUGAAAUCCCCAGGCUUAACCUGGGAACGGCAUCCGAUACUGGAGGGCUUGAAUUCGGGAGAGGGAUGCAGAAUUCCAGGUGUAGCGGUGAAAUGCGUAGAUAUCUGGAGGAACACCGGUGGCGAAGGCGGCAUCCUGGACCGGCAUUGACGCUGAGGCGCGAAAGCCAGGGGAGCAAAGCGGG
rnacentral:rRNA from 1 species